ensembl:lncRNA MAP3K14-AS1 MAP3K14 antisense RNA 1
GAGCACAUGGGUGUGCACCGCGCAGGGGCUGAGGCUGGGAGCCGUAGUCAGGGGCACCGGGUGGGCUUUGGCGGCGGGUCGACCUGCCUUUCAGGUGCCGGGGGUUUGGGAGCAGGGGAACGGGCCCUGGGCGGAUUCCUGACCGCCCCCUUCGCGCCCCUCCCCCUCUCACUUUCGCUUUCCCCGCCUGCCCCAACCCUCGCCCCCGGGCGCUCGGCCGCUCCCACCUGUCACCCCCAUGCAGACCGAGGCUCUGUCCUGGAGGCGGGGAGCGGGCUGGUGGAUGCUGCCUCUCCGCCUCCAGUGUGCUCUUUGGCUGAGGGACUGGUGGGCGCUGGAAAUAUUAGAGGCGCCGGUGCCUGUGAUGUCGCCGCCUCUGUGACGUCCCCGCCGCGACCCCACAGGCAGGGAGCCGCAUUUAGGUUUCGGGCGGGCGGACGGGGGACGGCCCGAGUGAGGCGUCCUCCGAAGGCUGCGGGCCCGAAGCCAGAACUCCUUCCUCUCCGAAGACCUCGGGGGUGGGGCUCGCGCUUCCGCAGCGGGCCUAGAGCGAGAGGCAGGCGGCAGGUAAGCCUGGCUGUGCUGGACAGGACUUGCACCCGCUCUGCACGCCAGCGGCUCAGGGCUGCCGCCCUUUUCGUGGUCCCAGGGCCCUUCCAAGAACCGGCUAAACCAACCCAAGCCGCGCGCACACACACUUGUGCACACAGGGAGUGUGGAGCCAGAUUCGAUAAGGCACCCCGUGUGCCCCAGCUCCAUGACCAAGGAACUCAGCACCCCGUGUGCCCCAGCUCCAUGACCAAGGAACUCAGCACCCCGUGUGCCCCAGCUCCAUGACCAAGGAACUCAGCCCACAAAGGCAUCCCUGGCCCCAUGCAGGGCUCAGGAGGCAGCGGAAAGGGUUAAGAGUCCAGGCCUCAAGGACAGGAGGGGAGGGUGGAGGGCCUGUGGUGUGCAUCCGGCAUCCCUGGAUGGUCAGGGCCCAGAACCCAUCCCUAUUUCCCUUCUGGUGGUAGGGGGCUGCCUAACUUGGGCAGUGGCACAAAGCAUGCAGGCUUUGUUGUCCUCCUCCUCCACCCCUCAGCCUGGCAUAUUUUGGCGAGGGACUUCCCUGAUGCCACCGGGCAAGGUAUCUUGCCUAACUGGUCUGAAUGACUAGCCCAGCGUUGGGACUAGAAGCAGCCACUGGGAGGAGUGGUGGGAAAGCAGCCCCACUCAAGGGCUGAAACAGUCCUUGUCCAAAACAAGGGGGACUUGAAAAGAUCUCAGCAAGAAGGCAAAGAGAGGCAGCUGUUAGGGUCGUGAGGUUCAGCAGGCCGGCAGGCAAGAGAGAGGACACCGAUGGCCUGGAAACAUUUGUCAUCACCCCAAACUUUAUUGCUUACAAAGAGUUCUCUACAACCCAGACUCUGCAGUACCAAGGCUGCAGUUCUUUAUGUGCUGGGGGCCGGGGCUCUCUCCCCGGGAGCAGUCUGACUCAAUGUGGACAGCUGGACAAAGGCUGUCUUGGCAAGAUGUGGGAAUGAGCUUCUCCCACGGAGUCUCGGCGUCCCCUGCCCCAGGAGGUUGAGGCUAGCAGACACCCCCUGACGAUUCACAGCUGAUUUAAUGCUACGGAGAGGCUGUCGAUGCUGAGGCACGAGAGAAUUUGCUCCUGCUCCUCCAGAGAAAAUGGCUGGGACAGGCUGUUGAGGAAUAAUUCUGCAGGGAAAAGUGGAAGAUGGCUGUGAAAGACUGGGAGGAGGCUGGCUGUGUUUUCAGGGGUUCUUCCUGCACAGUCGGUAGAAGCUGAGCUGCUGGGGAAGGGGCUGGAAGAAAGCCCACACCGCAGCUGCUGCAGUUCCUGCUCCGGGACGGUUGCUUUCCGCUCUGGUGAGCUGGGGUUUCUGGCAGGGGCUGGCUCCAGGGAGGACAGAGGUAAGGGUUCCCACAUCCCAGACUCCUCCUUGCUCAAAGUCAAGGGAGGAGACUUGUUUGGCUCUGGGGGCUCUGGUGGGAGAGGAGGCUGGAGCUUAGGGGCUCUGCCUGUUGUCUCCUCAGCUGGCCGGGGCCCUGGGGCCCUUGGCGAAAGCUCUCUCGGCUGGGCAUGGAGGGUCUGGUGGUAAUUGGCUUGAUUUGGCGGUGGAUGUCUUGGUUCUUUAUAUUCUCCCCUCCAAGGGCUCUUCAGACCUCCCACUAGAAAACAGAGAGUACAAUGGUGAGGGGAAGCGUGCUGUGCACAGACAGCGGUCCAGGCAGGAGCGGCCUCUCCUGAGUGCAGAAGGGCUAGAGGCAAACAAAGGGGAGGACACUGCCCCGGGCCACCAUGGGAGGUGGCUCCAGAGGGCAGCAUGGUGGUCUCCACAGGAGACUUCCUCAAUAAAAUGGUCCCAAUAUGACAGGGAUAGGACUGGAUUUCUGUCUUUGAUUCUGUUUUUCUUCUAGGUAUCAGUAGCAAAUUCAAAAACUACAGAAUCAGCUCCAGAGGACUUUGUU